GUGGCUAUAGCUCAGUUGGUAGAGUCCCGGAUUGUGAUUCCGGUUGUCGAGAGUUCGAGCCUCUCUAGCCACCCCA
rnacentral:tRNA from 2 species